rnacentral:rRNA from 1 species
CACGUAGGGGGCGAGCGUUGUCCGGAAUCAUUGGGCGUAAAGAGCUCGUAGGCGGCUCGGUAAGUCGGGUGUGAAACCCCCAGGCUCAACCUGGGGACGCCACCCGAUACUGCUGUGGCUAGAGUCCAGUAGGGGAGUGUGGAAUUCCCGGUGUAGCGGUGAAAUGCGCAGAUAUCGGGAGGAACACCAGCGGCGAAGGCGGCACUCUGGGCUGGAACUGACGCUGAGGAGCGAAAGCG